rnacentral:rRNA from 1 species
GGCGGCACGCCUAACACAUGCAAGUCGAACGAAGUAGCAAUACUUAGUGGCGAACGGGUGAGUAUAAUGUGGGUAUCUGCCUUUUGGUUUGGAAUAACAUGAGGAAACUUGUGCUAAUACCGAAUAAGCCUUUACAGGGAAAGUUUUAACGCCAAAAGAUGAGCCCGCACUUGAUUAGCUAGUUGGUAAGGUAAAAGCUUACCAAGGCUACGAUCAAUAGCUGAUCUGAGAGGAUGAUCAGCCACAUUGGGACUGAGACACGGCCCAGACUCCUACGGGAGGCAGCAGUGGGGAAUCUUGCACAAUGGGGGAAACCCUGAUGCAGCGAUGCCGCGUGAGUGAAGAAGGCCUUUGGGUUGUAAAGCUCUUUCGUCGGGGAAGAAAAUGACUGUACCCGAAUAAGAAGGUCCGGCUAACUUCGUGCCAGCAGCCGCGGUAAUACGAAGGGACCUAGCGUAGUUCGGAAUUACUGGGCUUAAAGAGCUCGUAGGUGGUUAGAAAAGUUGGUGGUGAAAUCCCAAGGCUUAACCUUGGAACUGCCAUCAAAACUUUUUGACUAGAGUAUGAUAGAGGAAAGUGGAAUUUCUAGUGUAGAGGUGAAAUUCGUAGAUAUUAGAAAGAACACCAAUUGCGAAGGCAGCUUUCUGGAUCAUUACUGACACUGAGGAGCGAAAGCAUGGGUAGCGAAGAGGAUUAGAUACCCUCGUAGUCCAUGCCGUAAACGAUGUGUGCUAGACGUUGGAAAUUUAUUUUUCAGUGUCGCAGCAAAAGCGUUAAGCACACCGCCUGGGGAGUACGACCGCAAGUAAACUCAAUGAUACG